rnacentral:rRNA from 1 species
UCGAGGGGUAACAGAAAAGCUUGCUUUUGCUGACGACCGGCGCACGGGUGCGUAACGCGUAUGCAACCUACCUCAUACUGGAGGAUAGCCCCUGGAAACGGGGAUUAAUACUCCAUAGUAUCACAAUUUCGCAUGUUAUUGUGAUUAAAGUUUUUCGGUAUGAGAUGGGCAUGCGUCCCAUUAGCUUGUUGGUGAGGUAACGGCUCACCAAGGCAACGAUGGGUAGGGGGCCUGAGAGGGUGGUCCCCCACACUGGUACUGAGACACGGACCAGACUCCUACGGGAGGCAGCAGUGAGGAAUAUUGGUCAAUGGAGGAAACUCUGAACCAGCCAUGCCGCGUGAAGGAUGACGGCCCUAUGGGUUGUAAACUUCUUUUAUAGAGGAAGAAACUUGUCUACGUGUAGACAACUGACGGUACUCUACGAAUAAGGAUCGGCUAACUCCGUGCCAGCAGCCGCGGUAAUACGGAGGAUCCAAGCGUUAUCCGGAUUCAUUGGGUUUAAAGGGUCCGUAGGCGGAUUUUUAAGUCAGUGGUGAAAGCCGACAGCUCAACUGUCGAACUGCCAUUGAUACUGGAAAUCUUGAGUACAAAUGAAGUAGGCGGAAUGAGUCAUGUAGCGGUGAAAUGCAUAGAUAUGACUCAGAACACCGAUUGCGAAGGCAGCUUACUAACAUGUAACUGACGCUGAGGGACGAAAGCGUGGGGAGCGAACAGGAUUAGAUACCCUGGUAGUCCACGCCGUAAACGAUCAUCACUCGCUGUUGGCGAUAUACUGUCAGCGGCCAAGCGAAAGUAUUAAGUGAUGCACCUGGGGAGUACGCCGGCAACGGUGAAACUCAAAGGAAUUGACGGGGGCCCGCACAAGCGGUGGAGCAUGUGGUUUAAUUCGAUGAUACGCGAGGAACCUUACCAGGGCUUAAAUGUAGUUUGACCGGCUUGGAAACAGGCCUUCUCUUCGGAGCAGAUUACAAGGUGCUGCAUGGUUGUCGUCAGCUCGUGCCGUGAGGUGUUAGGUUAAGUCCUGCAACGAGCGCAACCCCUAUUCUUAGUUGCCAGCGGUUCGGCCGGGG